GCUGCUGUGGAUUAGUGGAAGAGCAUCUGCUUGGCAUGCAGAUGGCCCCAGGUUCAAUCCCUGGCAGCAUCU